UACGUAGGGUGCGAGCGUUGUCCGGAAUUACUGGGCGUAAAGAGCUCGUAGGUGGUUUGUCGCGUUGUUCGUGAAAUCUCACGGCUUAACUGUGAGCGUGCGGGCGAUACGGGCAGACUAGAGUACUGCAGGGGAGACUGGAAUUCCUGGUGUAGCGGUGGAAUGCGCAGAUAUCAGGAGGAACACCGGUGGCGAAGGCGGAUCUCUGGGCAGUAACUGACGCUGAGGAGCGAAAGCGUGGGGAGCGAACAGG
rnacentral:rRNA from 1 species